CCUACGGGAGGCAGCAGUGGGGGAUAUUGCACAAUGGGGGGAACCCUGAUGCAGCGACGCCGCGUGGGUGAAGGAGCGUUUCGGCGCGUAAAGCCCUAUCGUCAGGGAAGAAGAUGACGGUACCUGACCAAGAAGCCCCGGCUAACUACGUGCCAGCGGCCGCGGUAAUACGUAGGGGGCAAGCGUUGUCCGGAUUUACUGGGUGUAAGGGGGGCGCAGAGGGGAAUGAAAGCCAUGAGGAAAAGCCCGGGUCCAAAGCCCGGGACUGCUAUUGAAACUGCAUGGCUGGAUUACAGAAGGGGCAGGAGGAAUGCCUAGUGUAGCGGUGAAAUGCGUAGAUAUUACGAAGAACACCGAUGGCGAAGGCGGCCUGCUAGACUGUGACUGACGUUGAGGCACGAAGGCGUGGGUAGCAAACAGGAUUAGAUACCCGGGUAGUC
rnacentral:rRNA from 1 species